CUGCAAGUCGAACGGCAGCACGGGGGCAACCCUGGUGGCGAGUGGCGAACGGGUGAGUAACGCAUCGGAAUGUACCCAGUAGUGGGGGAUAACUAGUCGAAAGACUAGCUAAUACCGCAUACGCACUGAGGUGGAAAGCGGGGGAUCGCAAGACCUCGCGCUAUUGGAGCAGCCGAUGUCCGAUUAGGUAGUUGGUGGGGUAAAGGCCUACCAAGCCUGCGAUCGGUAACUGGUCUGAGAGGACGACCAGUCACACUGGGACUGAGACACGGCCCAGACUCCUACGGGAGGCAGCAGUGGGGAAUUUUGGACAAUGGGCGCAAGCCUGAUCCAGCAAUGCCGCGUGUGUGAAGAAGGCCUUCGGGUUGUAAAGCACUUUUGGCGGGAGCGAAACGGCGUUUGCUAAUACCAGGCGCUAAUGACG
rnacentral:rRNA from 1 species